rnacentral:rRNA from 1 species
GAGACUCUGUGCGCGUGCAUAUCAAUAAGCGGAGGAAAAGAAACUAACAAGGAUUCCCUUAGUAACGGCGAGUGAAGCGGGAAGAGCUCAAAUUUGAAAUCUUCAAGGUUCUACCUUGACGAAUUGUAGUUUAUAGAAGUGUUUUCUGUUGGAGUUUUGGUAAAAGUUCUUUGGAAUAGGACAUCAUAGAGGGUGAGAACCCCGUAUUUGACCAUUAUUUCCAGCUGUGUGAUACACUUUCAAAGAGUCGGAUUGUUUGGGAAUGCAGUCCAAAAUGGGUGGUAAAUUUCAUCUAAAGCUAAAUAUUGGCGAGAGACCGAUAGCGAACAAGUACCGUGAGGGAAAGAUGAAAAGAACUUUGAAAAGAGAGUUAAACAGUACGUGAAAUUGUCAAAAGGGAAGCGUUUGACACCAGUGUUGUUUAGUUGAAAAUCAAUUCAAUAAUUUUUGAUUUUAAGUAGUAUUGACUUCAUCAGCUUGCUGCUUUCUUUUCGAGAAUUAUUGAAUGCACUUUUCAGUUAACAAGUCAACAUCAAUUUCUUUUGUUGUAAAAGGGUAAGAGGAAGGUGGCUUGCGCUUCGGCUCAAGUGUUUAUAGCCUUUUAUCUCUGCAAUCGGAGAGAUUGAGGUCUGCAGCGUAGACUCUUCGGGGUUAGAUACAUUUGUGCUAAGCUAUAGCCUUGUAUAGACAACUUGUUGACUAUGCUCAGUCAUGUAGCUUACUCGCAGAUGCUAUUUUACCUACGCUUAGGAUGUUGAAGUCAUCGUAUCGCGC